rnacentral:lncRNA from 1 species
GAAAAUUUUUAUUUUUCAUUAAUAACUAUUAACUUUUGGUUCAAUCUUUAGAAACCGAAAACUGUUCUUCAACCAAAAUCUCUUGAAUCUUUAAAAACCGAAAACUAUUUUCUGUCCUUGUCAGUAUAUAUAGGUGUCAGGUUGUCAGGAUAGAACAAUAGUUUUCCUCUUGCUAGUUUUCGGUCCGUGAGUUGUAUCAGACGGUUUCAAAUGUUUAAUCGUAUGCACGCUCAGUUUCAUUCAUCUUCUACUCCAUUUCUUUUUUUUUUCUUAUGCUUGAUAGCUCAUUGGUGAAGAUCCUUCCAUCCAGGACCUUACAAUAUUUGGUUUGGGCUAGGCAUCUACUUAUGGAUGCGUUUGGGCAUUUGUCAAUGUAUUUUGGAGCCGUUUUGUGUAUGUUUAUUGUUUUCAGUCUAGGAAGCAUUUGGUUAAGGUGUGACCGAAAACCAGUUUUCGGUCUGCUAAUGGAAAACUGUUUUUGGUCCUUUUCAGUAUAUAUAGGUGUCAGGUUGUUAGGAUGGAACAACAGUUGUACUUUUGCUAGCUUUCGGUCCCUGAGUUGUAUCAGACAGUUUCAAGUGUUUAAUCAUAUGCAAGCUCAGUUCCAUCCAUCUUCUACUCCAUUUCUUCUUUGUUUUCUUAUGCAUGAUUGAUCAUUGUUGAAGAUCCUUCCAUCCAGGACCUUACAAUUGGUAUCAGAGCUCAAACUGGUGUCAAUCAAGUGUGUUUAUUCAGUUUUCUGCUUCACAGUUGUGUUCUUCACGGUCUCGGUCUCUUGAAGCUUGUUUUGGCUCGAGUUUUGAAGAUCAGAUCACAGUUUGCAUCAUGUGGAAUAGAGAUCUGCUUGGAUUUCAGCUUUUCAGUUGAAAUCUUAUUGUUUUCGGUUUGAUCUUCAUCAACCGAAAACAUAUCUUCAAUGGAUUUCUACUCAGAUCUAAGCUAUUUGGAAGCUGUGUUUGAGGUUUCAAGUGUGUGGAAAUCAAAAUCAGAUCGAAAAUUUAUGUUUUUGAUCAAAAACUGUUUGCUUUCGGUUCAAUCUUCAGAAACCAAAAACAAUUCUUCAACCAAAAUCUCUUGAUUCUUCAGAAACCGAAAACUGUUUUCUGUCCUUGUCAGUAUAUAUAUAGGCGUCAUGUUGUCAGGAUAGAACAACAUUUGUCCUUUUGCUAGUUUUCGGUCAGUGAGUUGUAUCCCAGGGUUUCAAGUGUUUAAUCGUAUGCAAGCUUAGUCUCAUUCAUCUUAUACUCCAUNNNNNNNNNNNNNNNNNNNNNNNNNNNNNNNNNNNNNNNNNNNNNNNNNNNNNNNNNNNNNNNNNNNNNNNNNNNNNNNNNNNNNNNNNNNNNNNNNNNNGAGGUUUCAAGUGUGUGGAAAUCAAAAUCGGAUCGAAAAUUUAUGAUUUUCAUUAAAAACUGUUAGCUUUCAUUUCAAUCUUCAGAAACCGAAAACAGUUCUUCAACCGAAAUCUCUUGAAUCUUGAGAACCCGAAAACUGUUUUCUGUCCUUGUUUGUAUAUACAGCUGUCAGGUUGUCAGGAUAGAACAAUGGUUGUCCUUUUGCUAGUUUUCGGUCGGUGAGUUGUAUCAGACGGUUUCAAGUGUUUAAUCGUAUGCAAGCUCAGUUUCAUUCAUCUUCUACUCCAUUUCUUCUUUGUUUUCUUAUGCUUGAUUGAUCAUUGGUGAAGAUCCUUCCAUCCAGGACCUUACAAUAGAUGGUUUGGGCUAGGCAUCUACGUAUGGAUGCGUUUGGGCAUUUGUCAAUGUAUUUUGGAUUCGUUUUGUGUAUGUUUGAAGUUUUCGGUCUAGGAAGCUUUUGGUUAAGGUGUGACCGAAAACCAGUUUUCGGUCUGCUAACGGAAAACUGUUUUUGGUCCUUUUCAGUAUAUAUAGGUGUCAGGUUGUCAGGAUGGAACAACAGUUGUACUUUUACUAGUUUUCGGUCCCUGAGUUGUAUCAGACGAGUUCAAGUGUUUAAUCGUAUGCGAUGUCAGUUUCAUUCAUCUUCUAUUCCAUUUCUUCUUUGUUUUCUUAUGCUUGAUUGAUCAUUAGGGAAGAUCCUUCCGUCCAGGACCUUAAUAUUGGUAACAGAGCUUGAACUGGUGUCAAUCAAGUGUGUUUAUUCAGUUUUCUGCUUCACGUUUGUGUUCUUCACGUUCUCGGUCUCUUGAAGCUUGUUUUUGCUCGAGUUUUGAAGAUCAGAUCACAGUUUGCAUCAUGUGCAAUAGAGAUCUGCUUGGAUUUCAGCUUUUCAGUUGAUAUCUUAUUGUUUUCGGUUUGAUCUUCAUAAACCGAAAACAUAUCUUCAAUGGAUUUCUACUCAGAUCUAAGCUAUUUGGAAGCUGUGUUUGAGGUUUCAAGAGUGUGGAAAUCAAAAUCGAUCGAAAAUNUGUGGAAAUCAAAAUCAGAUCGAAAAUUUAUGUUUUUCAUCAAAAACUGUUCGCUUUCGGUUCAAUCUUCAGAAACCAAAAACAAUUCUUCAACCAAAAUCUCUUGAAUCUUGAGAAACCGAAAACUGUUUUCUGUCCUUGUUUGUAUAUAUAGCUGUCAGGUUGUGAGGAUAGAACAAUAGUUGUCCUUUUGCUAGUUAUCGGUCAGUGAGUUGUAGACGGUUUCAAGUGUUUGAUCGUAUGCAAGCUUAGUUUCAUUCAUCUUCUACUCCAUUUCUUCUUUGUUUUCUUAUGCUUGAUUUAUCAUUGGUGAAGAUCCUUCCAUCCAGGACCUUACAAUAUAUGGUUUGGCCUAGGCAUCAACGUAUAGAUGAGUUUGGGCAUUUGUCAAUGUAUUUUCGGGUCAUUUUGUGUAUGUUUGAUGUUUUCCGUCUAGGAAGCUUUUGGUUAAGGUGUGACCGAAAACCAGUUUUCGGUCUGCUAACCGAAAAUUGUUUUUGGUCGUUUUCAGUAUAUAUAGGUGUCAGGUUGUCAGGAUGGAACAACAGUUUUCCUUUUGCUAGUUUUAGGUCCGUGAGUUGUAUCAGACGGUUUCAAGUGUUUAAUCGUAUGCAAGCUCAGUUUCAUUCAUCUUCUAUUUCAUCUCUUCUUUGUUUUCUUAUGCUUGAUUGAUCAUUGGUGAAGAUCAUUCCGUCCAGGACCUUACAAACGGUAUCAGAGCUCAAACUGGUGUCAAUCAAGUGUGUUAAUUCAGUUUUCUGCUUAACGGUUGUGUUCUUCAUGUUCUCGGUCUCUUGAUGCUUGUUUUUGCUCGAGUUUUGAACAUCAGAUCACAGUUUGCAUCAUGUGGAAUAGAGAUCUGCUUUGAUUUCACCCUUUUAGUUCAAAUCUUAUUCUUUUCGAUUUGAUCUUCAUCAACUAAAAACAUAUCUUCAAUUGAUUUCUGCUUAGAUCUAAGCUAUUUGGAAGCUGUGUUUGAGGUUUCAAGUGUGUGGAAAUCAAAAUCGGAUCGAAAAUUUAUGUUUUUCAUUAAAAACUGUUAGCUUUCGUUUCAAUCUUCAGGAACCGAAAACUGUUCUUCAACCGAAAUCUCUUGAAUCUUGAGAACCCGAAAACUGUUUUCUGUCCUUGUUUGUAUAUUUAGCUGUCAGGUUGUCAGGAUAGAACAAUAGUUGUCAUUUUGCUCGUUUUCGGUCAGUGAGUUGUAUCAGACGGUUUCAAGUGUUUAAUCGUAUGCAUGCUUAGUUUCAUUCAUCUUCUACUCCAUUUCUUCUUUGUUUUCUUAUGCUUGAUUGAUCAUUGGUGAAGAUCCUUCCAUCGAGGACCUUACAAUAUAUGGUUUGGGAUACGCAUCAAUGUAUGGAUGAGUUUGGGCAUUUUUCAAUGUAUCUUGGAGUCGUUUUGUGUAUGUUUGAUGUUUUCCGUUUGGAAGCUUUUGGUUAAGGUGUGACCGGAAACCAGUUUUCGGUCUGCUAACGAAAAACUGUUUUUGGUCCUUUUCAGUAUAUAUAGGUGUCAGGUUGUCAGGAUGGAACGACAGUUGUACUUUUACUAGUUUUCGGUCCCUGAGUUGUAUCAGACGGGUUCAAGUGUUUAAUCGUAUGCGAUGUCAGUUUCAUUCAUCUUCUAUUUCGUUUCUUCUUUGUUUUCUUAUGCUUGUUUGAUCAUUAGGGAAGAUCCUUCCAUCCAAGACCUUAAUAUUGGUAUCAGAGCUCGAACUGGUGCCAAUCUAGUGUGUUUAUUCAGUUUUCUGCUUCACGUUUGUGUUCUCCACGUUCUCGGUCUCUUGAAGCUUGUUUUUGUUCGAGUUUUGAAGAUCAGAUCACAAGUUGCAUCAUGCUGAAUUGAGAUCUGCUUGGAUUUCAGUUUUUCAGUUGAAAUCUUAUUGUUUUCCGUUUGAUCUUCAUCAACCAAAAACUGUUUUCUGUGCUUGUCAGUAUAUAUAGGCGUCAGGUUGUCAGGAUAGAACAACAUUUGUCCUUUUGCCAGUUUUCGGUUCGUGAGUUGUAUCAGACGGUUUCAAGUGUUUAAUCGUAUGCAAGCUCAGUUUCAUUCAUCUUCUACUCCAUUUCUUCUUUGUUUUCUUAUGCUUGAUUGAUCAUUGGUGAAGAUCCUUCCGUCCAGUACCUUACAAUAUAUGGUUUGGCCUGGGCAUCAACGUAUAGAUGAGUUUGGGCAUUUGUCAAUGUAUUUUCGAGUCGUUUUGUGUAUGUUUGAUGUUUUCCGUCUAGGAAGCUUUUGGUUAAGGUGUGACCGAAAACCAGCUUUCGGUCUGCUAACCGAAAAUUGUUUUUGGUCGUUUUUCAGUAUAUAUAGGUGUCAGGUUGUCAGGAUGGAACAACAGUUGUACUUUUGCUAGUUUCAAGUGUUUAAUCGAAUGCGAUCUCAGUUUCAUUCAUCUUCUAUUCCAUUUCUUCUUUGUUUUCUUAUGCUUGAUUGAUCAUUGGUGAAGAUCAUUCGUCUAGGACUNUGUCUAGGACCUUACAAACGGUAUCAGAGCUCAAACUGGUGUCAAUCAAGUGUGUUAAUUCAGUUUUCUGUUUAACGGUUGUGUGCUUCAUGUUCUCGGUCUCUUGAUGCUUGUUUUUGCUCGAGUUUUGAACAUCAGAUCACAGUUUGCAUUAUGUGGAAUAGAGAUCUGCUUUGAUUUCAACUUUUCAGUUGAAAUCUUAUUGUUUUCGAUUUGAUCUUCAUCAAUUAAAAACAUAUCUUCAAUUGAUUUCUGCUUAGAUCCAAGCUAUUUGGAAGCUGUGUUUGAGGUUUCAUGUGUGUGGAAAUCAAAAUCGGAUCGAAAAUUUAUGUUUUUCAUUAAAAACUGUUAGCUUUCGUUUCAAUCUUCAGAAACCGAAAACUGUUCUUCAACCGAAAUCUCUUAAAUCUUGAGAACCCAAAAACGGUUUUCUAUCCUUGUUUGUAUAUAUAGCUGUCAGGUUGUCAGGAUAGAACAAUGGUAGUCCUUUUGCUAGUUUUCGGUCAGUGAGUUGUAUUAGAAGGUUUCAAGUGUUUAAUCGUAUGCAAGCUGAGUUUCAUUCAUCUUCUACUCCAUUUCUUCUUUGUUUUCUUAUGCUUGAUUGAUCAUUGGUGAAGAUCCUUCCAUCCAGGACCUUAAAAUUGUUAUCAGAGCUCAAACUGGUGUCAAUCAAGUGUGUUUAUUCAGUUUUCUGAUUCACGGUUGUGUUCUUCACGUUCUCGGUCUCUUGAAGCUUGUUUUUGCUCGAGUUUUAUAGAUCCAAUCACAGUUUGCAUCAUGUGGAAUAAAGAUCUGCUUGGAUUUCAGCUUUUAAGUUGAAAUCUUAUUGUUUUCGGUUUGAUCUUCAUCAACCGAAAACAUAUCCUCAAUUGAUUUCUGCUCAGAUCUAAGCUAUUUGGAAGCUGUAUUUGAGGUUUCAAGUGUGUGGAAAUCAAAAUCGGAUCGAAAAUUUAUGUUUUUCAUUAAAAACUGUUAGCCUUCGUUUCAAUCUUCAGAAACCGAAAACUGUUCUUCAACCGAAAUCUCUUGAAUCUUGAGAACCCGAAAACUGUUUUCUGUCCUUGUUUGUGUAUACAGCUGUCAGGUUUUCAGGAUAGAACAAUGGUUGUCCUUUUGCUGGUUUUCGGUCGGUGAGUUGUAUCAGACGGUUUCAAGUGUUUAAUCAUAUGCAAGCUCAGUUUCAUUCAUCUUCUACUCCAUUUCUUCUUUGUUUUCUUAUGCUUGAUUGAUCAUUGGUGAAGAUCCUUCCAUCCAGGACCUUACAAUAGAUGGUUUGGGCUAGGCAUCUACGUAUGGAUGCGUUUGGGCAUUUGUCAAUGUAUUUUGGAUUCGUUUUGUGUAUGUUUGAAGUUUUCGGUCUAGGAAGCUUUUGGUUAAGGUGUGACCGAAAACCAGUUUUCGGUCUGCUGAUGGAAAACUGUUUUUGGUCCUUUUCAGUAUAUAUAGGUGUCAGGUUGUCAGGAUGGAACAACAGUUGUACUUUUGCUAGUUUUCGGUCCCUGGGUUGUAUCAGACAGGUUCAAGUGUUUAAUCGUAUGCGAUGUCAGUUUCAUUAAUCUUCUAUUCCAUUUCUUCUUUGUUUUCUUAUGCUUGAUUGAUCAUUAGGGAAGAUCCUUCCGUCCAGGACCUUAAUAUUGGUAUCAGAGCACGAACUGGUGUCAAUCAAGUGUGUUAAUUCAGUUUUCUGCAUCACGAUUGUGUUCUUCACGUUCUCGGUCUCUUGAAGCUUGUUUUUGCUCGAGUUUUGAAGAUCAGAUCACAGUUUGCAUCAUGUGGAAUAGAGAUCUGCUUGGAUUUCAGCUUUUUAGUUGAAAUCUUAUUGUUUUUGGUUUGAUCUUCAUCAACCGAAAACAUAUCUUCAAUUGAUUUCUACUCAGAUCUAAGCUAUUUGGAAGUUGUGUUUGAGGUUUUCAAGUGUGUGGAAAUCAAAAUCAGAUCGAAAAUUUAUGUUUUUCAUCAAAAACUGUUCGCUUUCGGUUCAAUCUUCAGAAACUAAAAACAAUUCUUCAACGAAAAUCUCUUGAAUCUUCAGAAACCUAAAAUUGUUUUCUGUCCAUGUCAGUAUAUAUAGGCGUCAGGUCGUCAGGAUAGAACAACAUUUGUGCUUUUGCUAGUUUUCGGUCCGUGAGUUGUAUCAGACGGUUUCAAGUGUUUAAUCGUAUGCAAGCUCAGUUUCAUUCAUCUUCUACUCCAUUUCUUCUUUGUUUUCUUAUGCUUGAUUGAUCAUUGGUGAGGAUCAUUGUGUCCACGACCUUACAAACGGUAUCAGAGCUCAAACUGGUGUAAAUCAAGUGUGUUAAUUCAGUUUUCUGCUUAAUGGUUGUGUUCUUCAUGUUCUCGGUCUCUAGAUGCUUGUUUUUGCUCGAGUUUUGAACAUCAGAUCACAGUUUGCAUCAUGUGGAAUAGAGAUCUGCUUUGAUUUCAGCUUUUCAGUUGAAAUCUUAUUGUUUUCGAUUUGAUCUUCAUCAACUAAAAACAUAUCUUCAAUUGACUUAUGCUUAGAUCUAAGCUAUUUGGAAGCUGUGUUUGAGGUUUCAAGUGUGCGGAAAUCAAAAUCGGAUCGAAAAUUUAUGUUUUUCAUUAAAAACUGUUAGCUUUCGUUUCAAUCUUCAGAAACCGAAAACUGUUCUUCAACCGAAAUCUCUUAAAUCUUGAGAACCCGAAAACGGUUUUCUAUCCUUGUUUGUGUAUACAGCUGUCAGGUUGUCAGGAUAGAACAAUGGUUGUCCUUUUGCUAGUUUUCGGUCGGUGAGUUGUAUCAGACGGUUUCAAGUGUUUAAUCGUAUGCAAGCUUAGCUUCAUUCAUCUUCUACUCCAUUUCUUCUUUGUUUUCUUAUGCUUGAUUGAUCAUUGGUGAAGAUCCUUCCAUCCAGGACCUUACAAUAUAUGGUUUGGGAUACGCAUCAAUGUAUGGAUGAGUUUGGGCAUUUUUCAAUGUAUUUUGGAGUCGCUUUGUGUAUGUUUGAUGUUUUCCGUCUUGGAAGCUUUUGGUUAAGGUGUGACCGAAAACCAGUUUUCGGUCUGCUAACCGAAAACUAUUUUUGGUCGUUAUCGGUAUAUAUAUGUGUCAGGUUGUCAAGAUGGUACAACAGUUGUAAUUUUGCUAGUUUCGGUCCCUGAGUUGUAUCAGACGGUUUCAAGUGUUUAAUCGUAUGCAAGCUAAGUUUCAUUCAUCUUCUACNUUGUCAGUAUAUAUAGGCGUCAGGUCGUCAGGAUAGAACAACAUUUGUCCUUUUGCUAGUUUUCGGUCCGUGAGUUGUAUCAGACGGUUUCAAGUGUUUAAUCGUAUGCAAGCUCAGUUUCAUUCAUCUUCUACUCCAUUUCUUCUUUGUUUUCUUAUGCUUGAUUGAUCAUUGGUGAGGAUCAUUGUGUCCACGACCUUACAAACGGUAUCAGAGCUCAAACUGGUGUAAAUCAAGUGUGUUAAUUCAGUUUUCUGCUUAAUGGUUGUGUUCUUCAUGUUCUCGGUCUCUAGAUGCUUGUUUUUGCUCGAGUUUUGAACAUCAGAUCACAGUUUGCAUCAUGUGGAAUAGAGAUCUGCUUUGAUUUCAGCUUUUCAGUUGAAAUCUUAUUGUUUUCGAUUUGAUCUUCAUCAACUAAAAACAUAUCUUCAAUUGACUUAUGCUUAGAUCUAAGCUAUUUGGAAGCUGUGUUUGAGGUUUCAAGUGUGUGGAAAUCAAAAUCGGAUCGAAAAUUUAUGUUUUUCAUUCAAAACUGUUAGCUUUCGUUUCAAUCUUCAGAAACCGAAAACUGUUCUUCAACCGAAAUCUCUUAAAUCUUGAGAACCCGAAAACGGUUUUAUAUCCUUGUUUGUAUAUAUAGCUGUCAGGUUGUCAGGAUAGAACAAUGGUAGUCCUUUUGCUAGUUUUCGGUCAGUGAGUUGUUUUAGACGGUUUCAAGUGUUUAAUCGUAUGCAAGCUUACUUUCAUUCAUCUUCUACUCCAUUUCUUCUUUGUUUUCUUAUGCUUGAUUGAUCAUUGGUGAAGAUCCUUCCAUCCAGGACCUUACAAUAUGUGGUUUGGGAUACGCAUCAAUGUAUGGAUGAGUUUGGGCAUUUUUCAAUGUAUUUUGGAGUCGUUUUGUGUAUGUUUGAUGUUUUCCGUCUUGGAAGCUUUUGGUUAAGGUGUGACCGAAAACCAGUUUUCGGUCUGCUAACCGAAAACUGUUUUUGGUCGUUAUCGGUAUAUAUAUGUGUCAGGUUGUCAAGAUGGUACAACAGUUGUAAUUUUGCUUCAGGUUUGUGUUCUCCACGUUCUCGGUCUCUUGAAGCUUGUUUUUGUUCGAGUUUUGAAGAUCAGAUCACAGUUUGCAUCAUGCUGAAUUGAGAUCUGCUUGGAUUUCAGUUUUUCAGUUGAAAUCUUAUUGUUUUCCGUUUGAUCUUCAUCAACCGAAAACUGUUUUCUGUGCUUGUCAGUAUAUAUAGGCGUCAGGUUGUCAGGAUAGAACAACAUUUGUCCUUUUGCUAGUUUUCGGUUCGUGAGUUGUAUCAGACGGUUUCAAGUGUUUAAUCGUAUGCAAGCUCAGUUUCAUUCAUCUUUUACUCCAUUUCUUCUUUGUUUUCUUAUGCUUGAUUGAUCAUUGGUGAAGAUCAUUCCGUCUAGGACCUUACAAACGGUAUCAGAGCUCAAACUGGUGUCAAUCAAGUGUGUUAAUUCAGUUUUUUGUUUAACGGUUGUGUGCUUCAUGUUCUCGGUCUCUUGAUGCUUGUUUUUGCUCGAGUUUUGAACAUCAGAUCACAGUUUGCAUUAUGUGGAAUAGAGAUCUGCUUUGAUUUCAGCUUCUCAGUUGAAAUCUUAUUGCUUUCGAUUUGAUCUUCAUCAAUUAAAAACAUAUCUUCAAUUGAUUUCUGCUCAGAUCCAAGCUAUUUGGAAGCUGUGUUUGAGGUUUCAAGUGUGUGGAAGUCAAAAUCGGAUCGAAAAUUUAUGUUUUUCAUUAAAAACUGUUAGCUUUCGUUUCAAUCUUCAGAAACCGAAAACUGUUCUUCAACCGAAAUCUCAUAAAUCUUGAGAACCCGAAAACGGUUUUCUAUCCUUGUUUGUAUAUAUAGCUGUCAGGUUGUNNNNNNNNNNNNNNNNNNNNNNNNNNNNNNNNNNNNNNNNNNNNNNNNNNNNNNNNNNNNNNNNNNNNNNNNNNNNNNNNNNNNNNNNNNNNNNNNNNNNGAUCUAUAAAACUCGAGCAACAACAAGCUUCAAGAGACCGAGAACAUGAAGAACACAACCGUGAAGCAGAAAACUAAAUUAACACACUUGAUUGACACCAGUAUGAGCUCUGAUACCAUUUGUAAGGUCCUGGACGGAAUGAUCUUCACCAAUGAUCAAUCAAGCAUAAGAACACAAAGAAGAAAUGGAAUAGAAGAUGAAUGAAACUGAGAUCACAUUCGAUUAAACACUUGAAACCGUCUGAUACAACUCAGGGACCGAAAACUAGCAAAAGUACAAUUGUUGUUCCAUCGUGACAACCUGACACCUAUAUAUACUGAAAACGAUCAAAAACAAUUUUCGGUUAGCCGACCGAAAACUGGUUUUCGGUCACCCCUUAACCAAAAGCUUCCUAGACGGAAAACAUCAAACAUACACAAAACGACUCCAAAAUACAUGGACAAAUGCCCAAACUCAUCUAUACGUUGAUGCGUAGGCCAAACCAUAUAUUGUAAGGUCCUGGAUGGAAGCAUCUUCACCAAUGAUCAAUCAAGCAUAAGAAAACAAAAAAGAAAUGGAGUACAAGAUGAAUGAAACUGACCUUGCAUACGAUUAAACACUUGAAACCGUCUGAUACAACUCACAGACCGAAAACUAGCAAAAGCACAAAUGUUGUUCUAUCCUGACGACCUGACGCCUAUAUAUACUGACAAGGACAGAAAACAGUUUUAGGUUUCUGAAGAUUCAAGAGAUUUUCGUUGAAGAAUUGUUUUUGGUUUCUGAAGAUUGAACCGAAAGCGAACAGUUUUUGAUGAAAAACAUAAAUUUUCGAUCUGAUUUUGAUUUCCACACACUUGAAACCUCAAACACAACUUCCAAAUAGCUUAGAUCUGAGUAGAAUUCAAUUGAAGAUAUGUUUUCGGUUGAUGAAGAUCAAACCAAAAACAAUAAGAUUUCAACUGAAAAGCUGAAAUCCAAGAAGAUCUCUAUUCCACAUGAUGCAAACUGUGAUCUGAUCUUCAAAACUUGAGCAAAAACCAGCUUCAAGAGACCGAGAACGUGAAGAACACAAUCGUGAAGCAGAAAACUGAAUAAACACACCUGAUUGACACCAGUUCGAGCUCUGAUACCAAUAUUAAGGUCCUGGACGGAAGGAUCUUCCCUAAUUAUCAAUCAAGCAUAAGAAAACAAAGAAGAAAUGGAAAAGAAGAUGAAUGAAACUGACAUCGCAUACGAUUAAACACUUGAACNNNNNNNNNNNNNNNNNNNNNNNNNNNNNNNNNNNNNNNNNNNNNNNNNNNNNNNNNNNNNNNNNNNNNNNNNNNNNNNNNNNNNNNNNNNNNNNNNNNNUUUGUAUCAUGUGGAAUAGAGAUCUGCUUGGAUUUCAGCUUUUAAUUUUAAAUCUUAUUGUUUUCGGUUUGAUCUUCAUCAACCAAAAACAUAUCCUCAAUUGAUUUCUGCUCAGAUCUAAGCUAUUUGGAAGCUGUAUUUGAGGUUUCAAGUGUGUGGAAAUCAAAAUCGGAUCGAAAAUUUUUGUUUUUCAUUAAAAACUAUUAGCUUUCGUUUCAAUCUUCAGAAACCGAAAACUGUUCUUCAACCGAAAUCUCUUGAAUCUUGAGAACCCGAAAACUGUUUUCUGUCCUUGUUUGUGUAUAUAGCUGUCAGGUUGUCAGGAUAGAACAAUGGUUGUCCUUUUGCUAGUUUUCGGUCAGUGAGUUGUAUCAGACGGUUUCAAGUGUUUAAUCGUAUGCAAGCUUAGUUUCAUUCAUCUUCUACUCCAUUUCUUCUUUGUUUUCUUAUGCUUGAUUGAUCAUUGGCGAAGAUCCUUCCAUCCAGGACCUUACAUUAUAUGGUUUGGGAUACGCAUCAAUGUAUGGAUGAGUUUGGGCAUUUUUCCGUGUAUUUUGGAGUCGUUUUGUGUAUGUUUGAUAUUUUCCGUCUAGGAAGCUUUUGGUUAAGGUGUGACCGAAAACUAGUUUUCGUUCUGCUAACCGAAAACUGUUUUUGGUCGUUAUCAGUGUAUCUAUGUGUUAGGUUGUCAGGAUGGUCCCUGAGUUGUAUCAGACGGUUUCAAGUGUUUAAUCGUAUGCAAGCUAAGUUUCAUUCAUCUUCUACUCCAUUUCUUCUUUGUUUUCUUACGCUUGAUUGAUCAUUGGUGAAGAUCCUUCCAUCCAGGACAUUAAAAUUGUUAUCAGAGCUCAAACUGGUGUCAAUCAAGUGUGUUUAUUCAGUUUUCUGAUUCACGGUUGUGUUCUUCACGUUCUCGGUCACUUGAAGCUUGUUGUUGCUUGAGUUUUAUAGAUCAAAUCACAGUUUGCAUCAUGUGGAAUAGAGAUCUGCUUGGAUUUCAGCUUUUAAGUUGAAAUCUUAUUGUUUGCGGUUUGAUCUUCAUCAACCGAAAACAUAUCCUCAAUUGAUUUCUGCUCAGAUCUAAUCUAUUUGGAAGCUGUAUUUGAGGUUUCAAGUGUGUGGAAAUCAAAAUCGGAUCGAAAAUAUAUGUUUUUCAUCAAAAACUGUUAGGUUUCGGUUCAAUCUUCAGAAACCAAAAACAAUUCUUCAACCAAAAUCUUUUGAAUCUUCAGAAACCGAAAACUGGUUUCUGUCCUUGUCAGUAUAUAUAGGCGUCAGGUUGUCAGGAUAGAACAACAGUUGUCCUUUUGCUAGUUUUCGGUUUUAUCAGACGGUUUCAAGUGUUUAAUCAUAUGCAAGUUCCGUUUCAUUCAUCUUCUACUCCAUUUCUUCUUUGUUUUCUUAUUCUUGAUUGACCAUUGGUGAAGAUCCUUCCAAACAGGACCGUACAAUAUAUGGUUUGGCCUAGGCAUCAAUGUAUGGAUGAGUUUGGGCAUUUGUCAAUGUGCUUUGGAGUCGUUUUGUGUGUGUUUGAUGUUUUCGGUCUAGGAAGCUUUUGGUUAAGGUGUGACCGAAAACCUGUGUUUGGUCAUUGUCAGUAUAUAUAGCUGUCAGGUUGUCAGGAUGGAACAACAGUUGUACUUUUUCCUAGUUUUUGGUCCCUGAGUUGUAUCAGACGGUUUCAAGUGUUUAAUCGUAUGCAAGCUCAGUUUCCUUCAUCUUCUACUCCAUUUCUUCAUUGUUUUCUUACGCUUGAUUUAUCAUUAGUGAAGAUCUUUCCAUCCAGGACCUUAAAAUUGGUAUCAGAGCUCAAACUAGUGUCAAUCAAGUGUGUUUAUUCAGUUUUCUGCUUCACAAUUUUGUUCUUCACGUUCUCGGUCUCUUGAAGCUCGUUUUUGCUCGAGUUUUGAAGAUCAAUUCACAGUUUGCAUCAAGCGGAAUAGAUAUCUGAUUGGAUUUCAGCUUUUCAGUUGAAAUCUUAUUGUUUUCGGUUUGAUCUUUAUCAACCGAAAACAUAUCUUCAAUUGAUUUCUUCUCAGAUCUAAGCUAUUUGGAAGCUGUGUUUGAGGUUUCAAGUGUGUGGAAAUCUAAAUCGGAUCGAAAAUUUAUGAUUUUCAUCAAAAACUGUUAGCUUUCGGUUCAAUCUUCAGAAACCCAAAACUGUUAUUCAACCAAAAUCUCUUGAAUCUUUAGAAAUCGAAAACUGUUUUCUGUCGUUGUCAGUAUAUAUAGGUGUCAAGUUGUCAGGAUAGAACAAUGGUUGUCCUUUUGCUAGUUUUCGGUCAGUGGGUUGUAUCAGACGGUUUCAAGUGUUUAAUCAUAUGCAAGCUUAGUUUCAUUCAUCUUCUACUCCAUUUCUUCUUUGUUUUCUUAUGCUUGAUUGAUCAUUGGUGAAGAUCAGACGGUUUCAAGUGUUUAAUCAUAUGCAAGCUUAGUUUCAUUCAUCUUCUACUCCAUUUCUUCUUUGUUUUCUUAUGCUUGAUUGAUCAUUGGUGAAGAUCAGACGGUUUCAAGUGUUUAAUCAUAUGCAAGCUUAGUUUCAUUCAUCUUCUACUCCAUUUCUUCUUUGUUUUCUUAUGCUUGAUUGAUCAUUGGUGAAGAUCAGACGGUUUCAAGUGUUUAAUCAUAUGCAAGCUUAGUUUCAUUCAUCUUCUACUCCAUUUCUUCUUUGUUUUCUUAUGCUUGAUUGAUCAUUGGUGAAGAUCAUUUCGUCCAGGACCUUACAAACGGUAUCAGAGCUCAAACUAGUGUCAAUCAAGUGUGUUAAUUCAUUUUUCUGCUUCACAGUUGUGUUCUUCAUGUUCUCGGUCUCUUGAUGCUUGUUUUUGCUCGCGUUUUGAAAAUCAGAUCAUAGUUUGCAUCAUGUGGAAUAGAGAUCUGCUUUGAUUUCAGCUUUUCAGUUGAAAUCUUAUUGUUUUCGAUUUGAUCUUCAUCAACUAAAAACAUAUCUUCAAUUGAUUUCUGCUUAGAUCUAAGCUAUUUGGAAGUUGUGUUUGAGGUUUCAAGUGUGCGGAAAUCAAAAUCGGAUCGAAAAUUUAUGUUUUUCAUUAAAAACUGUUAGCUUUCGUUUCAAUCUUCAGAAACCGAAAACUGUUCUUCAACCGAAAUCUCUUGAAUCUUGAGAACCCGAAAACUGUUUUUUGUCCUUGUUUGUGUAUAUAGCUGUCAGGUUGUCAGGAUAGAACAAUGGUUGUCCUUUUGCUAGUUUUCGGUCAGUGAGUUGUAUCAGACGGUUUCAAGUGUUUAAUCGUAUGCAAGCUUAGUUUCAUUCAUCUUCUACUCCAUUUCUUCUUUGUUUUCUUAUGCUUGAUUGAUCAUUGGUGAAGAUCCUUCCAUCCAGGACCUUACAAUAUAUGGUUUGGGAUACGCAUCAAUGUAUGGAUGAGUUUGGGCAUUUUUUCAUGUAUUUAGGAGUCGUGUUGUGUAUGUUUGAUAUUUUCCGUCUAGGAAGCUUUUGGUUAAGGUGUGACCGAAAACCAGUUUUCGUUCUGCUAACCGAAAACUGUUUUUGGUCGUUAUCAGUAUAUAUAUGUGUUAGGUUGUCAGGAUGGAACAAUAGUUGUAAUUUUGCUAGUUUCGGUCCCUGAGUUGUAUCCGACGGUUUCAAGUGUUUAAUCUUAUGCAAGCUAAGUUUCAUUCAUCUUCUACUCCAUUUCUUCUUUGUUUUCUUACGCUUGAUUGAUCAUUGGUGAAGAUCCUUCCAUCCAGGAUCUUAAAAUUGGUAUCAGAGCUCAAACUGGUGUCAAUCAAGUGUGUUUAUUCAGUUUUCUGAUUCAUAGUUGUGUUCUUCACGUUCUCGGUCUCUUGAAGCUUGUUGUUGCUCGAUUUUUAUAGAUCAAACCACACUUUGCAUCAUGUGGAAUAGAGAUCUGCUUGGAUUUCAGCUUUUAAGUUGAAAUCUUAUUGUUUUCGGUUUGAUCUUCAUCA